rnacentral:rRNA from 1 species
GAUCCUGGCUCAGGAUGAACGCUAGCUACAGGCUUAACACAUGCAAGUCGAGGGGCAGCAUUUUAGUUUGCUUGCAAACUGAAGAUGGCGACCGGCGCACGGGUGAGUAACACGUAUCCAACCUGCCGAUAACUCCGGGAUAGCCUUUCGAAAGAAAGAUUAAUACCGGAUAGCAUACGAAUAUCGCAUGAUAUUUUUAUUAAAGAAAUUCGGUAUGAGAUGGGGAUGCGUUCCAUUAGUUUG